GGAAGGGCCAUAGCUCAGUGGCAGAACAGCUGCUUUGCAUGCAGAAGGUCUUGGGAUCAAUCCCUGGCACCUCCA